rnacentral:lncRNA from 1 species
CCUUCCACACUUCGGUAUCAUUUGAGGGGACCACGCUCUUCACUCCCCUGCACUCCGUAUCAAUAAUUCCUGCUUCUGGCCAGGCGCGGUGGCUCACGCCUGUAAUCCCAGCACUUUGGGAGGCUGAGGUGGGCGGAUCACAAGGCAUGGCCCAUGUCCCUGGGAACAGUAGAGACUGAGGCCUGGGUCUCAGUGGCAUCAAUUAGAGCCUUUCCCUGGGACUGAUGUACGAGUGUCUCUUUCUGUUGGCAUCUUUAAAUGAGAAGAUAAAAAUCCAGGUUAUCAUUAGCCACAUUCACUGGUCAAGAAAAAGGCCUCUGCAGAACACAGCUGAGCAGAACCACACAGAAGUGGAAGAAGCAAAGAGGUUUCCAGAAGACUCAAAACCCAAGUAUCAAGUUCUGCACUCAGUACUGAGAUAAUUGCACUACACAGAGAUGAGUGCAAUAUGGAAGCUAAACACAGGAUGCUUUGAAGAAAAGAAGAAUCCCUUCUAUUUUGUCCUGUACCUUCCUGUACCGCAUAACCAUGCUCAGAACUCAAAGAACACACAGCCUUUCUCAAGAUUAUGGCUGGAUGGAAAAAUUUCUAAUAAAGAAGUGAAAGCAAUUU